UUGAUAAAUCUCAAAAACCGCGCCAGCCUUUGAGCUCGAAGCCUAGGAUGAGACGGUUCUUCUUCCAUCCACUGUCGUGUUCACGGCGUCUUUUCCAUGUUGUGGCUUCUAAUUAUCUUCGCAACUAAGGGUGGCGCAGCCUUUCCUCUUCCGCCGGCUACGGAGGUUCAAAGAAAGUCCGCGCUCAUGAUUACGCUUCCAUUCCGAUUAAUCAUGCAGCAAUUGGUUGCUUCAUGAUUCGACGCUGCUGGCAUGAUUUCCAGUCGUCAGCCCCUGGUGACGAGAACCUUGAUUGCUGGCCUUCUGGAAGAUUUUGUGAUGGCUUUGUUGUUCCUCCAGCUGAACAUGCCACUAUAAUCUUCGCAUCCUUAGGUAAUUUUGACUCCACACCUGCUUGUGCAAUUCGCAGUACUUAGUCAAUGAUAUUCUGGAGGCAGGUAGAGGAAUAUAUUAUCCUAUAAAUCUAUGGACUGACUUUUUCUUCUUAUGUAUUAUUUACAGUGAAUGAUGGAAUCAUUACACAUAGUAUGCCCGGCCCAUCAGCGAUUUUUUUUGUCUUUUUUUUUUUUUGUUUUACGCUCAGUAACUCUUCUUCAGCCAGGCUUGGGCAUAAUAGGCAAACAAGUGCAAGUAUUAGUAGUAUAACGAAACCUA